GUUAUUCUACUGUAUUUAUUCAAUAAAACACCAUUCAUGCGCGUCACUAUUAGACUGACGGAAGCCGGCGCUCUUCGGAGUGUCCUGCAAAUUCCGAAUGUAGCCAAAUGCCCCGUCAUCUAAUUAGUGACGCGUAUGAAUGGAUCAACAAGAUUCCUUCUGUCCCUAUCUACUAUCUAGCGUAACCACAGCCAAGGGAACGGGCUUGGCAAAAUCAGCGGGGAAAGAAGACCCUGUUGAGCUUGACUCUAGUCUGACUCUGUGAAGAGACAUGAAAGGUGUAGCAUAGGUGGGAGAUUGUCAAAUUGCCAUCGUUCGCGCGGUGGUCCGGUGAUCACCAAUGAAAUACCACUACUUUGAUCGUUUCUUUACUUAUUCGGUAAAGCGAAAAAAUUGUGGCCAAUUUGGCGGUGUUUAUGUCGCUGUUGGUCAUUGUUUUCAUGUUA
rnacentral:ncRNA from 1 species